GCGGGUGUAGCUCAGUUGGUUAGAGCGCCAGGUUGUGGUCUUGGAUGUCGUCGGUUCGAACCCGAUCACUCGCCCCA
rnacentral:tRNA from 2 species